CGAGAAACGUUUGCGAAUGUAGCGAAAGCACGACCAAGGUUAACUCCGAGUGGUUUCUGACUAAAGGAACCUUUUGCCGAGUCCUAGAAACACUGGUGAAUAAGGGGUGGGCAAGUUCUGGUGUCAGCCGCCGCGGUAAAACCAGCACCUCAAGUGGUCAGGAGGUUUAUUGGGCCUAAAGCAUCCGUAGCCUGAUCUAUAAGUUCCGGUUAAAUCCACAUGCUCAACAUUUGGGCUG
rnacentral:rRNA from 1 species